GAGACAGUGUCUGGUCCUUAACCUGUUGAGCCACGACAGAAACUCCACAACACGGUAUUUUAAAUACUAGGACCUCGGGAACUGCUGCCUACGGGAUUAACGUUCAUCUUGAGAUCCAGGCGGGCCCUGGUAGCCUCUGGGGUGACCACCUGACCUGCCACGAGGAGAUUCCCUGGGAGUGAGGACAGGUCCACCCCCUUGAGGGUGUAGAGCUGAAGUCUACUUUAGGUUUCCUUCCUUUACGCAUUUUUCCUGCUCUCCUUGUUUACAAAGUCCUUUCCCUAAGCGGAGAAGUGGACAGCUGCUGGAGUUAGUUAAAACUUGAAAUUGCAACGUACAGAGGACACCAACUGGAAUUCCACAGAACAGCGUUUCACUCGGUGUUAAUGGGUGUGGCCUCAUACAGUUUCCUCUGCUGAAAUGUGUUUGGGAAGCCCUGGGCUUAAAAAUAAAAACAAAAACAGUC